rnacentral:rRNA from 1 species
UGCCCUUAACUCUGGGAUAAGCCUGGGAAACUGGGUCUAAUACUGGAUAUUGACUUUUCCUCGCAUGGGGUUUGGUUGAAAGCUUUAGUGGUUUUGGAUGGACUCGCGGCCUAUCAGCUUGUUGGUGAGGUAAUGGCUCACCAAGGCGACGACGGGUAGCCGGCCUGAGAGGGUGACCGGCCACACUGGGACUGAGACACGGCCCAGACUCCUACGGGAGGCAGCAGUGGGGAAUAUUGCACAAUGGGCGAAAGCCUGAUGCAGCGACGCCGCGUGAGGGAUGACGGCCUUCGGGUUGUAAACCUCUUUCAGUAGGGAACAAGGCUACACGUUGUGUGGUUGAGGGUACUUGCAGAAGAAGCACCGGCUAACUACGUGCCAGCAGCCGCGGUAAUACGUAGGGUGCAAGCGUUAUCCGGAAUUAUUGGGCGUAAAGAGCUCGUAGGCGGUUUGUCGCGUCUGCCGUGAAAGUCCGGGGCUCAACCCCGGAUCUGCGGUGGGUACGGGCAGACUAGAGUGAUGUAGGGGAGACUGGAAUUCCUGGUGUAGCGGUGAAAUGCGCAGAUAUCAGGAGGAACACCGAUGGCGAAGGCAGGUCUCUGGGCAUUAACUGACGCUGAGGAGCGAAAGCAUGGGGAGCGAACAGGAUUAGAUACCCUGGUAGUCCAUGCCGUAAACGUUGGGCACUAGGUGUGGGGGACAUUCCACGUUUUCCGCGCCGUAGCUAACGCAUUAAGUGCCCCGCCUGGGGAGUACGGCCGCAAGGCUAAAACUCAAAGGAAUUGACGGGGGCCCGCACAAGCGGCGGAGCAUGCGGAUUAAUUCGAUGCAACGCGAAGAACCUUACCAAGGCUUGACAUGAACUGGAAACGCUUGGAAACAAGUGCCCCGCUUGCGGCCGGUUUACAGGUGGUGCAUGGUUGUCGUCAGCUCGUGUCGUGAGAUGUUGGGUUAAGUCCCGCAACGAGCGCAACCCUCGUUCUAUGUUGCCAGCACGUGAUGGUGGGGACUCAUAGGAGACUGCCGGGGUCAACUCGGAGGAAGGUGAGGACGACGUCAAAUCAUCAUGCCCCUUAUGUCUUGGGCUUCACGCAUGCUACAAUGGCCGGUACAAUGGGUUGCGAUACUGUGAGGUGGAGCUAAUCCCAAAAAGCC